UACGGAGGAUCCAAGCGUUAUCCGGAUUUAUUGGGUUUAAAGGGUGCGUAGGCGGGUAGGGAAGUCAGUGGUGAAAUCUUCGAGCUUAACUCGGAAACUGCCUUUGAUACUAUCUAUCUUGAAUAUUGUGGAGGUAAGCGGAAUAUGUCAUGUAGCGGUGAAAUGCUUAGAUAUGACAUAGAACACCUAUUGCGAAGGCAGCUUACUACGCAUAUAUUGACGCUGAGGCACGAAAGCGUGGGGAUCAAACAGG
rnacentral:rRNA from 1 species